UAGGGAAUAUUGGACAAUGGGGGCAACCCUGAUCCAGCCAUGCCGCGUGAGUGAAGAAGGCCCUCGGGUUGUAAAGCUCUUUUGUCCGGAAAGAAAAGCAUUCGGUGAAUACCCGGAUGUUCUGACGGUACCGGAAGAAUAAGCACCGGCUAACUUCGUGCCAGCAGCCGCGGUAAUACGAAGGGUGCAAGCGUUACUCGGAAUUACUGGGCGUAAAGCGUGCGUAGGUGGUUGUUUAAGUCUGAUGUGAAAGCCCUGGGCUCAACCGGGGAAUGGCAUUGGAAACUGGGCAGCUAGAGUGCGGUAGAGGGUAGUGGAAUUCCCGGUGUAGCAGUGAAAUGCGUAGAGAUCGGGAGGAGCAUCUGUGGCGAAGGCGACUGCCUGGACCAGCACUGACACUGAGGCACGAAAGCGUGGGGAGCAAACA
rnacentral:rRNA from 1 species